rnacentral:misc_RNA from 1 species
AUAGAGUGAUAAAUGCCUCUUUGCUUUUGUAUUCUUAUCCAGGAACUAGGAAACCCAAGUGGGAUUAGAUGUGAUUUUGGUAUGGAUGACUUGUUCCUCUUUAUCCUGUAUCCAUUCAACUGAAGAGUUGGUAAAAAUGAGUCCCACGAGUAAGGAGAGAAGAGGAACUCAGGAAGAAAGGGAGAGUCUCUUGAGCACUGUGUGAAAUGUAGACUGAGCAAUGUUUAUCUGCUGCUGCUUUUUCCUUUAUCUGAGCAUUUAACAAAAUGCAUCUUAGCAAUGUCAAUGAAAGGUUUCCCUUGUACGAGAUCUAGACUUUUUGGCUUCUACCUCAAAAAUCUUGAUCGAUAUAGAGAGAUUGAAAAAUAACUAUGCUGUUUCUUGCUUGAAUAAAUCUCUCUAUGCUGGCUUACCAUUCAGACUCUUCUUCAAUCCCUG